UUCCGGUUGAUCCUGCCGGAGGUUACUGCUUUCGGUGUUCGACUAAGCCAUGCAAGUCAUAUGUUCCUCGUGAACAUGGCAUACUGCUCAGUAACACGUGGAUAACCUGCCCUUGGGUCUGGGAUAACCCCGGGAAACUGGGGAUAAUAUCGGAUAACGCAUAUGUGCUGGAAUGCUUUAUGCGUAAAACGGAUUCGUCCGCCCAAGGAUGGGUCUGCGGCCUAUCAGGUAGUAGUGGGUGUAAUGUACCUACUAGCCAACAACGGGUGCGGGUUGUGAGAGCAAGAGCCCGGAGAUGGAUUCUGAGACAUGAAUCCAGGCCCUACGGGGCGCAGCAGGCGCGAAAACUUUACAAUGCGGGAAACCGUGAUAAGGGAACACCGAGUGCCAGCAUCAUAUGCUGGCUGUCCAGAUGUGUAAACUACAUCUGUUAGCAAGGGCCGGGCAAGACCGGUGCCAGCCGCCGCGGUAACACCGGCGGCCCGAGUGGUGACCGUUAUUAUUGGGUCUAAAGGGUCCGUAGCCGGUUUGGUCAGUCCUCCGGGAAAUCUGAUAGCUUAACUGUUAGGCUUUCGGGGGAUACUGCCAGGCUUGGAACCGGGAGAGGUAAGAGGUACUACAGGGGUAGGAGUGAAAUCUUGUAAUCCCUGUGAGACCACCUGUGGCGAAGGCGUCUUACCAGAACGGGUUCAACGGUGAGGGACGAAAGCUGGGGGCACGAACCGGAUUAAAUACCCGGGAAGCCCAACCCUUAAAC
rnacentral:rRNA from 1 species